rnacentral:rRNA from 1 species
CCUACGGGGGGCUGCAGUCGGGAAUAUUGGGCAAUGGGCGCAAGCCUGACCCAGCGACGCCGCGUGAGGGAUGAAGGCCUUCGGGUCGUAAACCUCUGUCGGGAGGGAAGAAUGGCGGUGAGGCGAAUAGUCUCGCUGGCUGACGGUACCUCCAAAGGAAGCGCCGGCUAACUCCGUGCCAGCAGCCGCGGUAAUACGGAGGGCGCAAGCGUUGUUCGGAAUCACUGGGCGGGCCGGGUGUGUCGGCGGCGAAAUCCCGAGGCUCAACCUCGGAACUGCAUUCGAAACUGCUCGGCUCGAGUCCCGGAGAGGAUGGCGGAAUUCCCGGUGUAGGGGUGAAAUCCGUAGAUAUCGGGAGGAACACCAGUGGCGAAGGCGGCCAUCUGGACGGUGACUGACGCUGAGACGCGAAAGCGUGGGGAGCAAACAGGAUUAGAUACCCUAGUAGUC